AGGUUAUGUUGUGAGACCUCUGGUGAUUCGUGAUGCUCAUCUUUGGAGGCUCUCACUUUAGUCCAUGUCUGUCCUGAAUUCCACUGCCAGGAACAGCAUGCAGCGUGCUCCCAGAUGAGGCCUUACCACCGUUAUGUUGAACGGAAGGAGCACUUGGUGUGUUCUGCAAACACCCCUCCACCAGAACAUCUGCUAAACGUUUCUGAAUCUGAGCUUGUUGGGAUAGGGCCCAUUACUUUUACAUAUUUAUGAACUGUGUGGUACACUGGCAUUCAUUCAGCGAAGACGGCUUCCCGAGGCUCAUGCACAAAUGACAUAAACCGGUACUGGCUUAUGUGCAGGAGGUCUGCAUGUGCAGAGUUCACAGAGGGGCUGGAAACCCUGUUACAUGCAGAAGUACUUAAACACCACUGCUGAAGAGGAACAUAACCAGCUGCUAAUAUCUGUGUGAUGCAGGAACGCAAAAAGGAAAAACAGGUAUUUAAGAAGUCCUAAGGAAUUGUAAUGAAGAGUAAUGUAAUUAAAUGGAAUGAGGAGAAUUUGUGUCUGACCCUAGAAACAUACCUUACCAUCAAAAUACUUCAAAGUUUGGUGAAAUGUUCCAAAAAAAGCAAAAGCUACAGUGCUUGUGUUAGUUGUAACAGAGUGGACAAAGCAGAACACAGAACUGGUUCUUGGGGUGGAAAAUGAACAAAUAAUUCAUGGUGGAAAAAUGAACAAAUAAUUCAUUUCUGAUUUCUGUUUUUCUUGUUGUAGUCCAGCAUCUCAUGCCAACACUCGCACAGGCACAUCUUUAUGCUGUUUACACACUGAAGGGAGUGUAUUCUGCCUUCAUUGUGUGGAGAACUUACACAUGUGACUCCCAUUACCACAAACAGAAACUAUGUUCAUAAAUUUCCCUUUUGUGUGUGGACUGAGUGGACCUGUUGCUAUUUGCUUUUCCGGCUGGAUUGCAAACAGUGCCUUUCCAAAGCAGAAGUUGUAAUAUUUUCAAACCUCAUGAAAAACAGUGUAGCCCAUCCCCUCUCAACUGUGAGAGCCAUCCAUGCUCUGAGGAUCAUCUGUCUGCCUAAAUCCAUGCCAGCAACAGAACACAAGCACAAGCACAGCCUAAUAGUCUUAAUGAGAUUACAGCUACAGAUGCCCCAGUGCUGCUGUCUGGCCAAGGAACAGAACAAGCAUCAAAUUCAUCUGGAGAAAAAAAAAAAAUCCCCUUAGCUUGCAUGCGAGUGGGUUGCAGUUUAACCAAGAUUUCAGAACUAUGGUGUGCCAGAUCCCUUUGAUUUCUUUUUCCUAACCCCCCCUUUUUUUUUUCAAUGCAUAAUUGUUUUUUAUAAAGCAGCAUAUUAUUCUCAUGGAUCUUGAGAUUCAAUUAAUAUUUUGCUAGUGUGAAUUUAAAACUGGUUCUCAGACUGCUCUGUAGCCCUAAUACAUUUAGAGAUGCCUAUUGUUAGCUAUACUAGAUUGAUCUCACACAUGGCUUUUGUAUGUUUCCUACUGUCUGUUUGUAUGCUUGCCUAUGAUAUCCAUGUGCUACAGUGGAGUGUGGUGGAUCUGUGCCAAUACAAUCGUUCUUUUUUAUCAGCAGUUUAUCUGAUGCAUCUGUUUGGCUCACUGGACAGAAAUUAUUUGUAACUCUAUCCUACAUAUGAAGAAUACUCUUUCUGCACCUGUUCCAAGCAGCAUUUGGUUUGCUUACUGCUAAAAUUCUUCAUCUUAACAAAAACAAAUGAGUAUGUAUAACAAAGGCUGGAGUUGUGGAUUAAAUGAAACAGCUGAUCUUUGGAUAGCACUAUAUCAGAUGGCUAGGAUGCAAAACCUGUUACCAACGCAUUAAGGCGUGGAUUGUGCUGCUGUUACUGCAAACUGCAGGUACUGCCAUGCGGAUUUCAUUAUGCUUGCUUGGUGCCAGCAGGUGAGAAACCUGCUGCAAGUGGCCAGCCCCUGCAGGACUUCAUGCCUAGGGGAGAAAAUCCAGCAGUAGCACCUUCACAGAUUUUGUGUGGAGACUAUUUAAAGGAGCUAGCACAAUAGAAAACCCCUCCCCUUAAAAGCAGGGAAAAACAGAAUUUUAUAGUCGCUAAGAAACGAUAAAUAACAUUUUCAGUGGAAGACACGGGAGGCUAGUGCGGUCAGUACUCACAGAGCAAGGCUGUAAAAGUGACCCUCUUCUCGCACAAGUCAGCUCCUCCCCGACAGGUGCUCAUAGUUUGACCAUCUCUGCCAGGGCAAGCGCCCAAAUCAGAGCCCCUCGCCGCUCCUCGGGCCCUGCCUCCGCACGGGUUUCUCCUUGGGGAGCCUGCACAGGCAAUUCUCUCUUUCUUUAGCUCUGCAAGGCGAAGGCGAAGUAAAAAGGAGAUGGGGACCGGGAUGCAAAGCUCCUUCUGCGCGUCUUUCCCAGAGCAUCAUCGCGCAGGGGCUGGGGGAGAUGGGCGAUGCUGGCUCCGGCUGCCAAUUCGUCACCACUGCCAUGGCAACGCAGCAGUGGUCUCUGGUGGGAGCCGAGCGGCAACGGAGCCCCAGAUGCUUGCAUUGCCCCCCCCUCCUCCUCCUCCGAGGCCUCCGACCAGGGUAAGCCACCCAUUCUCAAGGAAGGCUGUUCUAGACAGCGAGUGCUUCCUCCCCACACGCGCACCUUUGGCUGCUCCCCUCACGGAUCCCCAUCUCGUUUGCAUGGUGUAGCAAAGCUGGCAGCAUCCCCAGGGAGCCGUCACUUCCCCUGGGAAACCCUGUGUCAUGUGAAACGGGAAAAAGGAACCUUGUUCUGGUAAACAUCUGAGCAUCAAUGCAUGCCCACCAGUGUUUGAAGAACAGCUAGGACAGGGUGGUAUAAUUCUGUCUCUGAGCAGGUGAACGAGCAGUUGAGGCAGUAAUGGGGUAUUUUUCUGCCAGGUUUUUCUCUGCCAACAUGAGUGAGUGCAAGUGUGUCUGUGAGGCCCCGUCUACAGCUACGGGGAAUCUGUAGGGCAGGCAGAGUUCCUUUGUUCCUGUCUCCUGAACUAAAGCGUCCUCACGUUAUCCUUUCUCAGUCUUAACAUUGCUGUUUUCUACUUAUUUAAAAUAUUUUUUAUUACAGCAUUGACAUAAAUAUUAUUAGUAAUGUGGUAGGACAGCCCGCAGGCACAGAGACUACAGACUCUGUGCUCUAUUUAGAGGAGAAGUCAGGACUGCAGAGCAGGCAUUAUUUUGCUGGACAAUGAACAAUUCAUGAAGGCUUGUUUUGGAAAGCAAAUCCUUGGAUAGUUAAAUAAUACCACUUGUUUGCGAGAGACUAUUUAUCUCAUCUUCUUAAUAAAAUGUCACUAAUGGUU